rnacentral:rRNA from 1 species
UCCAGACUCCUACGGGAGGCAGCAGUGGGGAAUAUUGCACAAUGGGGGAAACCCUGAUGCAGCGACGCCGCGUGUAGGAAGACGGUCCUCUGGAUUGUAAACUACUGUCCCCAGGGACGAAGAUGACGGUACCUGGGGAGGAAGCUCCGGCUAACUACGUGCCAGCAGCCGCGGUAAUACGUAGGGAGCGAGCGUUGUCCGGAAUUACUGGGUGUAAAGGGAGCGUAGGCGGGGAUGCAAGUUGGGUGUUAAAUCUACCGGCUCAACUGGUAGUCGCACUCAAAACUGCAGCUCUUGAGUGAAGUAGAGGCAGGCGGAAUUCCUAGUGUAGCGGUGAAAUGCUUAGAUAUCACGAAGAACCCCGAUUGCGAAGGCAGCCUGCCGCAGCGUUACUGACGCUGAAGCUCGAAAGCGCGGGUAUCGAACAGGAUUAGAUACCCUAGUA